AUGCCAUGGUGUGGUCAUUGCCUAAGUAGCUCUUUUAAUAUUUCCCAAGCUUCAAAUAGUGACUCUUCAUUUCUUGCCUAAAUGAGGUGAUUUCAUUUAUCAUUUU